rnacentral:lncRNA from 1 species
ACCAUUCCACGUUCCUGCUGGGAGUGCUGGCCCUGUCCUUCCCGCGCGCGCCAACCUCUGGCAUCGCAUCAGAUCCAUCUCUCAUCGUCAUACCAGUGUGGUGAUCAAAUCAAAUAAAGACUCCUUAUCAAAAAAAAAAUCAAAUAAAGACAACGGAGAGUGACCAUCCGGGUUGGUUCAAUGCUCCAGCACCCCGAGGCACGUACGGCGAUCUCAAGCGCUUCAAUUCCC